UUCCGGUCGCCUGUAGCUGUUCAGAGUAAGCCACCCUGAGCCUGCAUCGAGGACUAAGCACCCUGCGCCUGACUCCCGGGCGAGCAGUACCACUGCCCCCCGGCCUUGCGGGACAGGAAGGCGCUGGAGCAGGCACUUAGAAGGAGGUUCCAGACCCAUCUGCCCUCGCUAUCUGUGAGCCUGUGAGCAAGUUAUAGUUUCUGGAAGAUUCUAAAGAUGGGAGUUUUACAUUCACUGUGGACAAUUUCAAGGAGAAGGAAAAACGAAGUCUUCGUAAAGGGGUGUGCAACUGAUUUUCGUCUUCUGUAGAAGCUUCAAGGGACGUGGAGAGAAGUUCGCCCUGCAUUCCAGGAAGUGCAAAUCAAACGCAGCAAAAGUCAAGCCAGACCAGUGUAACCGUGUUCUGGAUUCUAAAUCGAGUCUCUGAAGACAGGUGCACACGUGUCCUGAGAACCGCAAGCUGCACGAAGACUCCGGGUUCCGCACUGUUCCUAAGGGUUGACACAGUUAGGUAGCGACCAAGACGCCACAGCUGUAAAACGGCUUGGAAACCGGGUUUCCGAGAGGCUUUCUGAGCUGGAGGAGGCACGGUUCUGUACUUCAAAAUGGGUUUUUCCAUAGGAAGCUCUGGGCCCAGCCUUGAGAAGCAAGGACCAAAGAGAUUAGAUGUAGCCGAGGAAGGCGUCCGUCAAAGUCAGCAAGAAAGUCAAAGGGAAGAAAGGGAGGGAAGGAGGGAGAGGAGGGAGGGAAGAUGAAAGAGGUGUAGCCCAGUGGUUGAGCACUUGGCCUAGAAUGAAUGCAAAUGUGGAGAAGCCGCUGGUGUAGAGCCAGCUGCACCUGGGGACUGAGCCCCUGAGAAAGGCGCAGGCUCCAGGAAGCAAGUCUUCCUGAGCGCUUCCCGAGUCUGUUCCUUUGCCUCAGAUGCUAACUGCUGUCUGCCCUUCGGUGCUCUUUCCCCAUUCUAUUCAUUGACACAGUAAACUGGGCGGGCUGCUGUCACUUGGUUGUAUAACUGUGCAGCACAGUAGCCCAGGCUGUCGUGGAACUUGCUAUCCUCCUGCUCUAGUUCCCAAGCGAUGGGGGUACAUACACGCACGGGUACACCCAGCUUCCAAGUGGGUAUAAUUCUUUUGUGAGUUGGUUUUUAGGAAGGGGAAAGGAGGUGAGAAAGACUGUGUUGCACUAUGUUGCCCAGGCUGGUCUUGAACUUAAAUACUUAAGCCACUCUCCUGCUCCAGUGCAUCCACAUCUGGCUAAAAUAAACUUUUAAAAUGGCA